rnacentral:rRNA from 1 species
GAUUAACGCUGGCGGCGUGCCUAACGCAUGCAAGUCGAGCGGCAGCGCGUUUUACACUGUAUUCUGGAAGCUUCUAGUUGAAAGAGAAGAUUUAUUCAAGAAUUUUGUGUAAAAUGUCGGCGAGCGGCGGACGGCUGAGUAACGCGUGGGAACGUACCCCAAAGUGAGGGAUAACGCAUCGAAAGGCGUGCUAAUACCGCAUAUGGUCUUCGGCUUAAAGCCUUCGGGCGCUUUGGGAACGGCCUGCGUAAGAUUAGAUAGUUGGUGGGGUAAUGGCCUACCAAGUCGACGAUCUUUAACUGGUUUGAGAGGAUGAUCAGUCAGACUGGAACUGAGACACGGUCCAGACUCCUACGGGAGGCAGCAGUGAGGAAUCUUCCACAAUGGGCGAAAGCCUGAUGGAGCAACGCCGCGUGCAGGAUGAAGGCCUUCGGGUUGUAAACUGCUUUUAUAAGUGAGGAUUAUGACAGUAACUUAUGAAUAAGGAUCGGCUAACUACGUG